rnacentral:tRNA from 1 species
GGGCGUGUGCCCGAGUGGUUAAAGGGGACGGGCUGUAAACCCGUUGCGUAAGCUACGAUGGUUCGAAUCCAUCCGCGCCCA